CCUUGGAUGCACUCCAUGCUCUUUCUUAUAUUUAUUGCUCAUAAAUGGGCAUGGCCAAACCUGAGAUUUCCUUCCCAAGACUGAUUUUUUCUUUAUUUAUAGAUCGCCCCGUACGUAGCUCCUUGUUCUUACUCCCAAUCGCUUGAGUCGGUCUAAGAACAAACCACUAAAUGGUGCUUGAUUCUCCUUAGCCGCAGGUUGAUAAAGACGAAAGUCCACACUCGAUCCUUAACCAAACAACAAGAAGAGGUGAAUUCCGCUGGUUUUUAGCAUUA
rnacentral:lncRNA from 1 species